CUUUUGUUAUUGUUGUUAUCGCCCCGCACACGCUCGGCUGGGAAAUUCCAGCCGAAAAUUUGCACAGCUGGCCUACCGGGUUGGAUAUACCGAUCGCUCAGGAUGGUCCCGGUCGCCCGAUGGGUUUGCGCAUUGCUGCUGACGGAAGCCAAGGCACUGCUGCUGAUUUCUGGUUACUGCCAGUUCAUGUCCUGCCUUCUACUGUUUGCCCCCCCAGCCCGUGGCAACCCGGGGGAGAUAAGUUGUUUUUCGAUCAAUUCAAUUGCUCACCGCCGAACAUGGAAGAGGCGGACCCCACCGGCCCAUCGAGAAACUGUCGGUUUCCGAAACGGUUUGCCUCAGCGCUGAUGAUGGCGACAAUAGCUUAGACGUCCUGCUCCUCGGGCUCCGCAACGCAAUUGUGAGGUAGGUUGGUAUUAAAUUUAAAAGACUGAUACCCAAUCCAUACCAGUAAUGGCACUGAUAUUGAACUCAUCACGAGCCUGGCACUGAUCCUCAGCCUGAAUUUAUAGAAGUCCUUAAACUGAUGCUGAAGCCCCAUACCCCCAUGCAUCCAUGGGUAGGUUUUUUAGGACUAAACUACUAGUUGAGAGUGACAUAUGAUAGAAUUUACCUAACGCUUUAAAACGAUGAAGCGAUAUACCCCUAGAAGCUAUUCGAUGAGGUAUAUUAACUUUAUUAAACCUCAUCCACCGUCAAUUUCCCCCCGUACAGCUCAUUAGCAGAUUCAACUGUGCACAUACUUCGAACAAGAACCGACCACCAAAAAUGUAUCGAGUAACCAAAAUCCUACUGUGCGGAAGAUAAUGAAACAUUUUCUACCCUUUCCAUCCGGUCCCGCUCAUCCAUUGUUACGAGCCACCAAGCGUCUCCAUGUGGAAAACGACCCGACCACCUACAAGUCAGUGGUGGUUUGCUUGCUUGCUCAAACAAAGAAACCGGUAUUUACACGCGCGGGCAAGCGACCGUACUGCUUUCCUAGAAACAAUCGACCAACAGAAAUUCCACUUUAUACUUUGGACGCUGGAGCUCGCGUGAGCCCAAAUUGCUGUACUCCUCUGCCUUUCCCGGAAAAUGGGCACACAAAACGCUCCUUUCUAGUGUCCGCCGUGUUUGCCGCACAAAAAAGAGGGAAGUUAUAGCAAAUCUUGAUGUAAAGGUUUGUAAAAAAACAUCUACAAACGGUAGAUAAAGGAAAGAAAAAUCGAUUUUGCUUCCUGUUUUUUGUGGAGAGAGGCAAGAACGUUCCUAGAUAACGAUCGACAUGGGAGCAAGUUGCAAUAAAAUUUGAAAGCCUCACACACCAUUAAAACAAUUCAAAACCGGGAUGAAAUUUAGGGUGGGAUGAAACAACUCACAU